UAGGUCUUCUGUGAGAGGUUGUCUCAGGACGUGCUGUUCUCCUGAUGAUCACAUGACUGACUCCCAGGUCCUUGGCAUGCCAGGAUCGGAUCAGCUUGCUGAGAAUUGGGGCGGAGAGCACACAGGCCCGUGAGACACUCUCUGCUGCCUGAGAAAGUAGGGGAGAGCCUAUCUAUAAAUCAUUAGCAAGGCCACAGUGUUUUUUAAACACCCCAGCAACCAUUUUAGCCUUGCAGCUGCGUCUGCUUGCUUGCUUAUCUGCCUGUUGAGAACAGUAUAAAAUGUACUCACUUCAAAGAAUAUAUGCCCUUAGUCUCCUAUGGCUCUGGGUCCCCCGUGUCCCUCUUUUCUUUCUUCUCAUUGCACAGUCUUCAAGUCCGCGUCUCUCUUCGAGGAGACCCCCACAACUGGCGCCUGAACAGGCACUUGAAAGGAAUCCCGGUGGCUAUGUGGACAUCUGGACCUACUGAGGUCGAACAAAUGAACCGAUCGGGCCCGUUUAUGAAGCGGUGCCCGCGCCUCCUCCUCCUCCCAUAAAACAGCCAGAUGUGCCUCAGUCUUUGCAUUCUCGGGGGAUAUUCUUAUAUGGCAGAACGACAUUUUGCAGAGGAUAAUUUGCUUCCUGAUCCGCAAGCAGUAUGGAUACAACAAGAUGAUCCAAAACAAUGGGUUAAAGUAUGGUUAAUAAUAAAAGGGAAAGGCUAUGCUUGUGUUGUUCCAGAUGGAUCCUGAGAACAAUUAUGGACACCUCUUCAGAAAGUCAGGGCUCGGGACCCUGGCCCUGAUCCAGUUCCCAGCAACAUCUUCCGAAGCUCUGAGGAUGGCUCUGAGGGAUCCCAGCCCUCUAACCCCUCCAGUAGAGGAAAUGGCAGCUCUUCAAAUUUCUGGAAAUUGUCAUAAACAAUGACCAAAAUUCAAUUGUGAUCCCCCUACUUGAGGUCAAAUUAAAAACCUAACACAAAGAGCUCAGCAGGUCUUAAUCAAAACUAAGAAUCCUGCAACACCAGAAAAUUAUUUUGUGUCUAUGCUAGCUGUUCUUGCCUCACCACUUCACCAGUAAGUAGUCUUCCACUGUUACAACUGGUGGAUUUGUCCGAGCCAGGUCCUAAUGUUUUUACUAAUGAUUCCAUCCAUGUGCUUGCUCCCUGGGGAAAUGGAAAACCUACAUUCCCUUUAGAAGAAGGUAAAUAAUAUAAUAUUUUCUUGGGGGUAUAAGGAACUCCCUUUAUGCAUAGGAGGGGACACCAUAUGUUUACCAGUGGAACGCCAAACUUGGGCCUUUAUUCUGCCCCCUCGUAGAGAUUCCCACACAGUGUUGGGAUUACUGCUUUUUUGUUUUAUACUUAUAUCAAUGAUACUACCACCUUUGAGGGCAAAGGUGACUAUCCUGUCUGUGAAGAUAUUUCUUAUAAAAAGUUUGAAUUUGUACCUAUAGCCUGGGCCAGAUGUCAAAGUAAAGAAGGUAAAUAUAUGAGAGUUGAAAAUCAUACUUUUAUUGAUUGGGGACCAUAUGGCAAAUUUUUAAAUAACUAUACAGAUGAUAUUAAUUCUACUGUGUGUGAUUAUCUUAUUAAUGUAUGGAAUACUAAUGUCACUAUGGAGCAUCAUCAUCCUAAAGGACUUUUGGCCUGGCAUGAUGUUGGACUGUCAGCUCCUCAUCCUCACCUUCAAUUAUCUGAUGGCACAUAUGGACCUGAACAAUGGGAACUUUGGAAACUUGCUGCUGCAACACAAGCUAUGGGAUCUUGGAAUGGAGACUUUUCGGGAAACAAAUAUUCAGUCAGAUUAUUAUUUUCAUUAUAAUGCUUAUUAUAUUACUGCAUGUGUUAAAUUACCUUAUGUAUUAGCUGUAGGUACAAUCCAGGUUAAUGAUGCAUUAAGAGCUAUUCAAUGUGAUAAUUGUAAAUUGUAUUCUUGUACUAAUGCUUCUAUGAGGGUAAAUUAGUAUAAUGAUAUUCUGGUGGGGUUUUUUUUGCACUUUAAAUUCUUUUAUUGGUACAUUGUAGGUAUACAACACAAUUACAAAUCUCAUUGGGAACUGUACCUUUA